rnacentral:rRNA from 1 species
GAUGAACGCUGGCGGCGUGCCUAAUACAUGCAAGUCGAGCGAACGGACGAGAAGCUUGCUUCUCUGAUGUUAGCGGCGGACGGGUGAGUAGCACGUGGAUAACCUACCUAUAAGACUGGGAUAACUUCGGGAAACCGGAGCUAAUACCGGAUAAUAUUUUGAACCGCAUGGUUCAAAAGUGAAAGACGGCCUUGCUGUCACUUAUAGAUGGAUCCGCGCUGCAUUAGCUAGUUGGUAAGGUAACGGCUUACCAAGGCAACGAUGCAUAGCCGACCUGAGAGGGUGAUCGGCCACACUGGAACUGAGACACGGUCCAGACUCCUACGGGAGGCAGCAGUAGGGAAUCUUCCGCAAUGGGCGAAAGCCUGACGGAGCAACGCCGCGUGAGUGAUGAAGGUCUUCGGAUCGUAAAACUCUGUUAUUAGGGAAGAACAUAUGUGUAAGUAACUGUGCACAUCUUGACGGUACCUAAUCAGAAAGCCACGGCUAACUACGUG